CUUGACCGUACCGAGCAGCAACGGGCGCUCCCGGUCCCGGCCGUAGGCGGUCAGCAGGGCCUGGGCCUC
rfam:Streptomyces sp. MnatMP-M17 genome assembly, contig: Ga0115259_11030